rnacentral:rRNA from 1 species
UGGUAGGAUAGCGUAAUUAACGCGAUGAAGGAUGACCGUAAGGACAUGUUGGAGCGUUAACUAGUGAGAAUUCCGGUAUGAGUAGCGAAAGAUAGGUGAGAAUCCUAUCCACCGAAUGAGUAAGGUUUCCCCCGGAAGGCUCGUCCGCGGGGGGUUAGUCGGGACCUAAGGCGAGGCUGAAAAGCGUAGUCGAUGGACAACAGGUUGAUAUUCCUGUACCGAUAUUUAAUUGCCGAAGGAAGGACGCAGAAGGAUAACACAGGCCACUAUUGGAUGUGGUUUUAAACAGUUAGUCUUCAUAAGAGUCAAAUGCUUUUAUGUUUAAGGAUAAGCUGUGAAUGUACCAAGUUUACUUGGAAAUUGUGUGAUUUCACGCUGCUGAAAAAAGUUUCGUAGGAAGAAAAUAUUGCCCGUACCGCAAACCGACACAGGUACUCGAGUGGAGAACACUAAGGUGAGCGAGUGAACUAUUGUUAAGGAACUCUGCAAAAUGAGUCCGUAACUUCGGAAGAAGGACUGCUGGUUUUAUACCAGCCGCAGCAAAUAGGCCCAAACAACUGUUUAUCAAAAACACAGGUUUCUGCAAAAUCGUAAGAUGAAGUAUAGGGGCUGACGCCUGCCC